GAGUUUGAUCCUGGCUCAGAUUGAACGCUGGCGGCAGGCCUAACACAUGCAAGUCGAGCGGUAGAGAGAAGCUUGCUUCUCUUGAGAGCGGCGGACGGGUGAGUAAUGCCUAGGAAUCUGCCUGGUAGUGGGGGAUAACGCUCGGAAACGGACGCUAAUACCGCAUACGUCCUACGGGAGAAAGCAGGGGACCUUCGGGCCUUGCGCUAUCAGAUGAGCCUAGGUCGGAUUAGCUAGUUGGUGAGGUAAUGGCUCACCAAGGCGACGAUCCGUAACUGGUCUGAGAGGAUGAUCAGUCACACUGGAACUGAGACACGGUCCAGACUCCUACGGGAGGCAGCAGUGGGGAAUAUUGGACAAUGGGCGAAAGCCUGAUCCAGCCAUGCCGCGUGUGUGAAGAAGGUCUUCGGAUUGUAAAGCACUUUAAGUUGGGAGGAAGGGCAGGUAAAUUAAUACUUUGCUGUUUUGACGUUUACCGACAGAAUAAGCACCGGCUAACUCUGUGCCAGCCGCCG
rnacentral:rRNA from 1 species